UGAAGCAAAACAAAAUCUAUAAGGUGUAAGACUGCUUAAAUUACUAACUUUUUUUGAUAUUCAAAUACAAGUGGCAACUUAAUUUGUUUUCUUGUAGGUGGUAGUUUUCUUCAUACUGUUCUUUUAUGUGACAAAUUUGACUUCAGUACUGCUUUAGUGGUUUGUCUUCUUAAUACUGCUUUGAAUUGGAUGAAUGAAUUUGAGAAAUGGCAAGAAGGAUUAAGAGAUGAUGAGAAACUUUAGGUUCUCUGAAUUAGCAACUAUGAAAUGUCCUCAGGAGAGAAGUUACAUGCUGCAGAGGUGGCAAGAAGAUGGUGGUGUUAUGAUAUAGAGUAUGAGAUGUACAGAAUCUUGUUCAAUGAAGAAAUGUAAAGAGUCAAAAACUUUUAAAAAAUUUUAAUAAAGCUUUAGUUAAUCCAGGUAAGUUUUUAACAAAUACCGAUUAGUGAAACAAGUUGAAAAAUGUGUUUAUAUUUUCUGUAACAAAUAUUAAUUAAGCAGCUACUAAAUACUGAUUUUUGAUCCAUUUGUACUUAAGAUUUAUGUCUUUUGAUUCUUAAUAUUGGUUAUUUUUUCAUAGAGAUAAAAUGCUCUUUCAUGUUGCUUGUUUUUCAAAAUUUAAUUAUUAAGUCUGGAGUGUUAAGAAUUUUCAGAGUCUCAGACAAAAGUGCAUCAGCUACUUAAUGUCACUAAUGUUCUUAAAGCUGUGUAAACAUUAGAUGAUUGUGAAUUCUCUGCAUACUCUGAAAACAUUUACACCUCUUUCCAGAAUUCAUGUUAUCAAAAGAAUUGCUGUUAGCUUAUUUCUUUUAAAGGGUAAUCAAUUUGAAAAGGUAAUAUUUCCAAUACUUUCAAUCCUUGAGAAAUGGUAAUCUGAUAUGAGAGCUAACUAUUUGAGCUUUGUUUGCUUUGUGAGACAGGGUGUCAUUGUGUAGUUCAGGUGGGCCUCAAAUUUCAGCAGUCUUCUUGCUGCAGCCUUCUGAGCUUUGGGAUUAUAGGUGUGCACCACUGUGUCUGGCUUGAUUGUUUUUGUGUCCUUAGAAAAGUAACAAGUUUUAUUAUAUGCAAAGUGAGAACCAAGUUUUUAAUCUUAAAUUUUAAAUUAUGUGCAUAAUUUAUUCCCUAUCUUCAAUGUUAUUGUGCCAUAUUUUAUUAUUUCAAGAUUCUAUAGUCUUUAUGUUUGUAAAGAAAGUUUGGGUAAUUGUCAUUGGUGAAACUAACAGCACUCUCAGCAGGGUUUUUGUAAUCCAAGCUCUCAGGAAGUUCUGAAGCAUGUGUUGAGACCCUGUCUCAACACCCUCCCUCACAACAACAACAACAGAAUGAAUAGUUUUAGAAUUCAGUGGUUUGCUUGCUUUUGGAUAAUGCUAUAAUUACAGUGGUACCUUGUUUCACAAACUAAAUUCUCUUCAUGAUUCUGGUUGCAAACUGAAUUGCAUGAGAACCAAAUCAAAUUCAGUGGUUAGGUUCAAUGUUGACCUCAUGGAGAAAUUGAUCAUUUCUUGCCCAGUUUGUUUUUGUGACCAGAAUUGUGAAGUGAAUUGAGUUCAUGAACCAAAACACCAUUGUAAUUGUGUGAAAGUAACUUUGCAAUUGUAAAUUUAAGGCUUAUUAAUAAAUUUAUCAUUUUUCCUAUAAUCAAAGUGGAUGUCUAAAAAUUCUAUGGUUGAUUUAUGGUUGGAGGACUCAUAUGAAUGAUCAUUAUAGUAGAUUUAACAGCAGUUUAAAAUAGCCAUUUCAGGUAUUUAAGGUACUUUUGUCUAUGAGGAAAUGAGUAAUAAAUUAUAACUCCUUACAUGGAAGGUAGUAUUUGUCAUUUCCAUAGUUGUCAUUUAGUGACAUUCAGAAAUCUUUAUUUUGUAAUAAUUUAUUUCUUUUCAGGAAAGUUGAAGUGAUAGCAUAGAUAGUUCCCAUAAAACAAGUCUAUGGUUAGUAUCUUACAUUGCCAUGAUUGAUUUUUCAAAGCUAGGAAAUUGGCUCAUUGUCAGAACAUCAUCAUUAACUAAUUGCAAAACAGUUUUUCCAUCCAGAGUACCAUAUUGCACUUAGCUCUCUUUAUUGUCUUCUGGUCAUCUGUAUGAUGACCUUUUGAGGCAAAUUUUUAGUCUUUGUUUGUUACUUUUAACAGUUUGAAGAACUACUUGUCCAGGUAUUCUAGAGUGUUUCCUAAUCUGAGUUUUUUUUUUCUUAUGCUUAAACUCAGGUUAUAAAUUUUUAAGUGAAUAUAUCAAAAUUUGUGAAGUAUCCUGUUUGUUAUCAUUUUAAGAGAUACAUGAUACUGAUAUGACAUUAAAGGUGAUAUUAUUCUGUCA